AGUCAUAAGAAAAAAUUUAAAUGAAUUCAAAAUACACAUCAACUUGGGUAAAAAAAUCAAGGAUUUUAAAAUAUUAAAAAAACUUCUUAGCUAAACAAGAGGCUCAUAAAGAAAAUGUUUGUCCUUCAUUAAUAAGGAAAACUAUCGUAUUUAAAGAAAUGAGUGAGCUGCUUUAUUCAAAAAACAUUGUUCAAACUACUUCGAAUUUUGAUUUCAACGAAAUUUUUGAUAAGAAACCGUCAAAAACAGAAUGCAGGUAUGCAAGAAAAAGCAAAGAGUAUUUAGUUGCCGAUGAAAACUCUCAAAUAUGUAUUCAUAAAAUAAAACGUGCAGCGUCUGAAAUGCUACUCAAAACAGUAGCUGAUAAUGAAAGAGCUUCUCUUCCACUUUUCCGUUCUCUGGAAAACAUUCAUGAAAUGUCUAUUUGUGAUAAUCAAAGAAAAGGUACCUUAAGUGCAUUCGGUAACCAAAGUUCUAUAAAAACUGUUGUCGACACCAACUAUAACGCAG
rnacentral:misc_RNA from 1 species